UAGGGAAUCUUCCACAAUGGACGCAAGUCUGAUGGAGCAACGCCGCGUGAGUGAAGAAGGUUUUCGGAUCGUAAAGCUCUGUUGUUGGUGAAGAAGGAUAGAGGCAGUAACUGGUCUUUAUUUGACGGUAAUCAACCAGAAAGUCACGGCUAACUACGUGCCAGCAGCCGCGGUAAUACGUAGGUGGCAAGCGUUGUCCGGAUUUAUUGGGCGUAAAGCGAGCGCAGGCGGAAUGAUAAGUCUGAUGUGAAAGCCCACGGCUCAACCGUGGAACUGCAUCGGAAACUGUCAUUCUUGAGUGCAGAAGAGGAGAGUGGAACUCCAUGUGUAGCGGUGGAAUGCGUAGAUAUAUGGAAGAACACCAGUGGCGAAGGCGGCUCUCUGGUCUGCAACUGACGCUGAGGCUCGAAAGCAUGGGUAGCGAACAGGAUUAGAUACCCUGGUAGUCCAUGCCGUAAACGAUGAGCGCUAGGUGUUGGGGG
rnacentral:rRNA from 1 species